ACUAAGCGUACAAGGUGGAUGCCUUGGCAAUCAGAGGCGAAGAAGGACGUGCUAAUCUGCGAAAAGCUUGGAUGAGUCGAUAAGAGGCGUUUAAUCCAAGAUAUCCGAAUGGGGAAACCCAGUAGAUGAAGAAUCUACUAUCAACAAGUGAAUUCAUAGCUUGUUGAGGCAAACCGGGAGAACUGAAACAUCUAAGUACCCCGAGGAAAAGAAAUCAACCGAGAUUUCGUCAGUAGCGGCGAGCGAAAGCGAAAGAGCCAGUAAGUGAUAGCAGUAUAGUGAGGAGAAUGUGUUGGGAAGCACAAUCAAAGAGGGUGAUAAUCCCGUAUCUAAAAACCAUAUUGUGGUACUAAGCUAACGAGAAGUAGGGCGGGACACGUGAUAUCCUGUUUGAAGAAGGGGGGCCCAUCCUCCAAGGCUAAAUACUCCUGAUUGACCGAUAGUGAACCAGUACUGUGAAGGAAAGGCGAAAAGAACCCCGGUGAGGGGAGUGAAAUAGAACCUGAAACCUUGUACGUACAAGCAGUGGGAGCCCCAUCACUUAAUCCGAUUGGAAGGUGAUGAAAAGCAACCGCACUUAAACAAUGGUAAGAGGAGCGAAGCGAGUCAAACCACCCAAAAGAAGCAGUGGGAUUAAGUGAUGGGGUGACUGCGUACCUUUUGUAUAAUGGGUCAGCGACUUAUAUUUUGUAGCGAGGUUAACCGAAUAGGGGAGCCGAAGGGAAACCGAGUCUUAACUGGGCGUUGAGUUGCAGGGUAUAGACCCGAAACCCGGUGAUCUAGCCAUGGGCAGGUUGAAGGUUGGGUAACACUAACUGGAGGACCGAACCGACUAAUGUUGAAAAAUUAGCGGAUGACUUGUGGCUGGGGGUGAAAGGCCAAUCAAACCGGGAGAUAGCUGGUUCUCCCCGAAAUCUAUUUAGGUAGAGCCUUGAGGUGACACCUUUGGGGGUAGAGCACUGUUUCGGCUAGGGGUCCAUCCCGGAUUACCAACCCGAUGCAAACUACGAAUACCAAAGAGUGAUACUCAGGAGACACACGGCGGGUGCUAACGUCCGUCGUGGAGAGGGAAACAACCCAGACCGCCAGCUAAGGUCCCCAAGUCUAUAUUAAGUGGGAAACGAAGUGGGAAGGCUUAGACAGCUAGGAUGUUGGCUUAGAAGCAGCCAUCAUUUAAAGAAAGCGUAAUAGCUCACUAGUCGAGUCGGUCUGCGCGGAAGAUGUAACGGGGCUGAAAUAUAGCACCGAAGCUGCGGCAUCAGGCGUAUCACUAAUACGCCUGUUGGGUAGGGGAGCGUUGUGUAAGCGGAUGAAGGUUCAUCGAGAGGUGGGCUGGACGUAUCACAAGUGCGAAUGCUGACAUAAGUAACGAUAAAACGGGUGAAAAACCCGUUCGCCGGAAGACCAAGGGUUCCUGUCCAACGUUAAUCGGGGCAGGGUAAGUCGGCUCCUAAGGCGAGGCUGAAAAGCGUAGUCGAUGGGAAACAGGUUAAUAUUCCUGUACUUGGUAAAGCUGCGAUGUGGGGACGGAGUAGGUUAGGUUAUCGCACUGUUGGAUAUGUGCGUUUAAGUUGGUAGGUGGGAAGUUUAGGCAAAUCCGGACUUCCUUAACACAGAGAGAUGAUGACGAGGCUCUACGGAGCUGAAGUAACUGAUACCACACUUCCAGGAAAAGCCACUAAGCGAAAGGCUUUACUAAACCGUACUGAAAACCGACACAGGUGGUCAGGUAGAGAAUACUCAGGCGCUUGAGAGAACUCGGGUGAAGGAACUAGGCAAAAUAGCACCGUAACUUCGGGAGAAGGUGCGCCGGCGUAGAUUGUAAGGGCUAGCCCCUGAAGGUUGAACCGGUCGAAGAUACCAGCUGGCUGCAACUGUUUAUUAAAAACACAGCACUCUGCAAACACGAAAGUGGAGGUAUAGGGUGUGAUGCCUGCCCGGUGCUGGAAGGUUAAUUGAUGGUGUAAUCGCAAGAGAAGCACCUGAUCGAAGCCCCAGUAAACGGCGGCCGUAACUAUAACGGUCCUAAGGUAGCGAAAUUCCUUGUCGGGUAAGUUCCGACCUGCACGAAUGGCAUAAUGAUGGCCAGGCUGUCUCCACCCGAGACUCAGUGAAAUUGAAAUCGCCGUGAAGAUGCGGUGUACCCGCGGCUAGACGGAAAGACCCCGUGAACCUUUACUAUAGCUUGACACUGAACAUUGAAUUUUGAUGUGUAGGAUAGGUGGGAGACUAAGAAGAUGAUACGCCAGUAUUGUUGGAGUCGACCUUGAAAUACCACCCUUUAACGUUUGAUGUUCUAACGAAGAUUGCGGAACGUGGUCUCGGACAGUGUCUGGUGGGUAGUUUGACUGGGGCGGUCUCCUCCCAAAGCGUAACGGAGGAGCACGAAGGUUUGCUAAUCACGGUCGGACAUCGUGAGGUUAGUGCAAUGGUAUAAGCAAGCUUAACUGCGAGACAGACAAGUCGAGCAGGUACGAAAGUAGGUCAUAGUGAUCCGGUGGUUCUGAAUGGAAGGGCCAUCGCUCAACGGAUAAAAGGUACUCCGGGGAUAACAGGCUGAUACCGCCCAAGAGUUCAUAUCGACGGCGGUGUUUGGCACCUCGAUGUCGGCUCAUCACAUCCUGGGGCUGAAGUAGGUCCCAAGGGUAUGGCUGUUCGCCAUUUAAAGUGGUACGCGAGCUGGGUUUAGAACGUCGUGAGACAGUUCGGUCCCUAUCUGCCGUGGGCGUAGGAGAAUUGGUUGGGGCUGCUCCUAGUACGAGAGGACCGGAGUGGACGCACCACUGGUGUUCCGGUUGUGUCGCCAGACGCAUUGCCGGGUAGCUAAGUGCGGAAGAGAUAAGUGCUGAAAGCAUCUAAGCACGAAACUUGCCAAGAGAUGAGUUCUCCCAAUCUAAGAGAUAGUAAGGGUUGUUGUAGACUACGACGUAGAUAGGUCAGGUGUGUAAGUGUAGUGAUACAUUGAGCUAACAGAUACUAAUUGCCCGAGAGGCUUAACU
rnacentral:rRNA from 1 species